AACCGCUGAAAGCAUCUAAGCGGGAAGCGAGCCUCAAGAUGAGUCAUCCCUAGACCUUUAAGGUCUCUAAAGGGUUGUUGAAGACUACAACGUUGAUAGGUCAGGUGUGUAAGUGCUGCGAGGCAUUGAGCUAACUGAUACUAAUUGCCCGUGAGGCUUAACCAUACAACACCCAAGGGGUUU
rnacentral:rRNA from 1 species